rnacentral:rRNA from 1 species
AUUGAACGCUGGCGGCAUGCUUUACACAUGCAAGUCGAACGGUAACAGGUUAAGCUGACGAGUGGCGGACGGGUGAGUAAUGCAUCGGAACGUGCCCGGUCGUGGGGGAUAACGCAGCGAAAGCUGCGCUAAUACCGCAUACGAUCUAAGGAUGAAAGCGGGGGACCGUAAGGCCUCGCGCGAUCGGAGCGGCCGAUGUCAGAUUAGGUAGUUGGUGGGGUAAAGGCUCACCAAGCCAACGAUCUGUAGCUGGUCUGAGAGGACGACCAGCCACACUGGGACUGAGCCACGGCCCAGACUCCUACGGGAGGCAGCAGUGGGGAAUUUUGGACAAUGGGCGAAAGCCUGAUCCAGCAAUGCCGCGUGCAGGAAGAAGGCCUUCGGGUUGUAAACUGCUUUUGUACGGAGCGAAAAGGUCUCCUCUAAUACAGGGGGCUCAUGACGGUACCGUAAGAAUAAGCACCGGCUAACUACGUGCCAGCCGCCGCCGUAA